rnacentral:rRNA from 1 species
AGCGAACGCUGGCGGCGUGCCUAACACAUGCAAGUCGAACGUGAAAGGGAGCAAUCCCAAGUAAAGUGGCGUACGGGUGAGUAACACGUAGGUAAUCUACCCCAGAAUCUGGAAUAACCGGCCGAAAGGCUGGCUAAUACUGGAUAGAGCGACGGAAUCCGUAAUUGGGUUUUUCGGGAAAGGGAGCCUGUAAAAAGGCCUUCGUUCUGGGAUGAGCCUGCGUCCCAUCAACUAGUUGGUGAGGUAAAAGCUUACCAAGGCAAUGACGGGUAGCUGGUCGGGGAGGACGAUCCGCCACACUGGGACUGAAACACGGUCCAGACUCCUACGGGGGGCAGCAGUGGGGAAUCUUGCGCAAUGGACGAAAGUCUGACGCAGCAACGCCGCGGGAGUGAAGAAGGCCUUCGGGUUGUAAAGCUCUGUCGAGUGGGACGAAAAUGCUUGGAGUUCACAGCUCCAGGAACUGACGGUACCACUAAAGGAAGCACCGGCUAACUCCGUG